AGAAAUUCCAAUCGAACUCGGAUAUAGCUGGUUCUCCCCGAAAUAGCUUUAGGGCUAGCGUCGAGGCUUAGUCAUGUGGAGGUAGAGCACUGAAUGUACGAUGGCCCCAUCCCGGGGUACUGAGUAUAAUCAAACUCCGAAUGCCAUGAUAAUAUACUCGGCAGUCAGACUGUGGGUGAUAAGGUCCAUGGUCAAAAGGGAAACAGCCCAGACCGCCAGUUAAGGUCCCAAAAUGUAUGCUAAGUGGAAAAGGAUGUGGGGAUGCACAGACAACUAGGAGGUUGGCUCAGAAGCAGCCACCCUUCAAAGAGUGCGUAACAGCUCACUAGUCGAGUGACCCUGCGCCGAAAAUGUACCGGGGCUAAGCAUACUACCGAAGCUGCGGAUUUGUAGAGAUACAAGUGGUAGGGGAGCGUUGCAUGCACGUGGAAGCCAUAUCGUGAGGAGUGGUGGAGAGCAUGGAAGUGAGAAUGCCGGUGUGAGUAGCGAGAUGUAGGUGAGAAUCCUACACACCGAUAGCCCAAGGAUUCCAGGGGAAGGUUCGUCCGCCCUGGGUAAGUCGGGACCUAACGCGAGGCCGAAAGGCGUAGUGGAUGGAAAACAGGCAGAUAUUCCUGUACCCGCGAUGGGAAGUGAAGGAAUGACGGAGAAGGCUAGCAUGACCCACUGAAUGGAUUGUGGGCGAAGCGGAGCAGCAGGUAUGUAGUGAAAUGCGCAUACGAAAUGCAGGACGUGAUAGGUAAGUGAACGUUUCGACAAGUAACGAAGCAUGUGAGGCCAGCUUCCAAGAAAAGUUUCUAAGCGAUUAAUCCCAUAGCGGCCCGUACCAAAACCGACACAGGUGGGCAAGGAGAGGAUCCUGAGGUGAGCGAGAGAACUGUUGCCAAGGAACUCGGCAAAAUGACUCCGUAAGUUAGCGAUAAGGAGUGCUUAUGUAAAAGUAAGCCGCAGUGAAGAGGCCCAAGCGACUGUUUAACUAAAACACAGCUCUCUGCGAAGUCGCAAGACGAAGUAUAGGGGGUGACGCCUGCCCGGUGCUGGAAGGUUAAGAGGAUUUGUCAGUCGCAAGAUGAAGCAAUGAAUUGAAGCCCCAGUGAACGGCGGCCGUAACUAUAACGGUCCUAAGGUAGCGAAAUUCCUUGUCAGGUAAGUUCUGACCCGCACGAAAGGCGUAACGAUUUGGGCGCUGUCUCGGCAGCAGACUCGGUGAAAUCUUAGUACCUGUGAAAAUGCAGGUUACCCGCAACUAGACGGAAAGACCCCAUGGAGCUUUACUGUAGCUUGAUAUUGAGCUUUGAUCAGAGAUGUACAGGAUAGGUGGGAGACGAAGAGACGUGCACGCCAGUGUACGAGGAGUCGACGUUGGGAUACCACUCUUGUCUGAUUGAAGUUCUAACCUACACCCAUGAACUGGGUGAGGGACCGUGUCAGGCAGGCAGUUUGACUGGGGCGGUCGCCUCCUAAAGAGUAACGGAGGCGCCCAAAGGUACGCUCAGAUUGGAUGGAAAUCAAUCGACGAGUGCAAAUGCAGAAGCGUGCUUGACUGUGAGACAAACAAGUCGAACAGGGACGAAAGUCGGGAUUAGUGAUCCGGCGGUGCCGAAUGGAAGGGCCGUCGCUCAACGGAUAAAAGCUACCCUGGGGAUAACAGGCUGAUCUCCCCCA
rnacentral:rRNA from 1 species